ensembl:lncRNA
GCUUCUAAAAUUUCAGAUGUCUUUGUCACAAAUACAUAUAUAGCAUCUUAAAAAAAUAUUUUCUGAGUGUAGCACUGCUUUCUAAGUUUUACCCAGAGCAAGAAUUACAAAUACAAACAUCAAAAUCGUAGCAUGCAUAAACUUUUGCAGUGAGACCUGAAGUGCUGAACACUGCAGAGGCAAAGUGUUUGACUACUCUGACAAUAUAUUUUUUAAUGGAAUUUUCCUAAGUUGCUGCUUGUGUCUACUUCUUCUCCUCUACCCACUGGGUAGCUGUAAAAUAUGACCAUCUCCCUACUCUCUCCCAUCUGACAGCUGUAGGCAAGGACUCCUCAAGUCUUCUCUUUUUAAGUCUAGACAAAACAGGCUCCUGACAUAUAUCCAUCCCACCUAUCCCAGGACUCUCCCCGUUCUAGAUUAUAUUUAACUGAUGCUAAAAAUGUUAACUGAUGCUAAAAAAAGUACUACUAAAAGUAGUAGUCUUGGUUUGUUUCCAAGACUAAAUCUAAAGGUGAGAAACUUAUUACCCUUUUAAUAGUCUCUGUCAGCUAUUGUAUAGAACGCCACCUUGGAGUAAGUAGAAAAUUUCCAUUUACUUCAGUCUAUUUCCAUUCAAUACCAUAGAAAGCAGCUAAAAUUUUGCUGCUGAAUUUCAUGGGUCUGGGAUUAAACAUUCAUAGUACAGAAAGCUGAUCUGAAUGUUCUGACAGGCUUGAACUAGAACAUUCUCAGAUCUAAUGCUCAUUUGGAUCAGGAUGUUAGGGUCAAAGUUUAGGUACUAAGCAAAUGUAAAUGCUGUGAAUUCUGGCAUAGAUGUUGCUAGUUUGUCCUGAUGUGCUACUGGUUAUUCAUUCUUCUCACAGAAGUGAAUGGUUUGGGCAAUUCUGGGCUGUUAAAUCAGCAUUGUAUCUUCACAAUGUGUGCAAAGCCAAAAACUUUGGGAAUUCCAGGUUUUGCAUAGAAAACCCAUGAAAAACACCAGCUGUGCACUGCUGAUUUGUAGCAACAUUUUUGAGUGAACUUCUGUCCAAACAACAUGCAAAAAUCCUGGAAGAGUAGGCAAAGAAGGUUUGCCAAAGCUGGGUAAAUUUGGACAAAUGGUAAGAGGUUGUGGGUCAGACUCUUUAUUACCAGAGUUUGAAUUGUGCUUCAAAAUGAGCUUGAAAAUAAAUGGGGGAUAAUAUUUCUUCUAGGUGUGUAAAUCUAGAUUUUUGUAUAAACUGAACAUGGGGUUUGUUCAAGGAAAUAAAUAAUGUCUGAUUUCCAUAUGAAAGACCAUACACAUCAGAGAUAAGUAAUCCCUUCAAAAUCAAGACACAUUUUGUGCCCUACUCUCAAAAUGCGCAUACAUGGAAGAGAAAUAAAAGGUUCAAGUAAAUUACUUUGAGUGUUUGGAAGAACUAACACUUUUCUUUUCGUCCUUCUUUGAAGAGUUGUAGUUUCUCUGUCCAGAUCUGGACCUGCAAAUUGUAAAUACAUGUGUAGAUAUAUACAGUAAUGCAUACAAUGCAGUAAUGUGGUACUGUUGAAAUGAUAGUAUGGAUCCCAGAAUCAAAAAUAUGAUCCUUAUUCUCUGUAUCCUGGUGUUUCACCAUAUAGUUUUUUAAGAAGGCUUUUAUUUUUUCUGAAAACUACACAGAACACUACCACUGGAUGUUUUUAACUUUGUGGCCAGUUGCCAGUAAUGAUUAGUUACAGGCAAAGAAAAAGGCUGGGAGGUUUAAGCAUUUGGUAAGUGAUGAGAGGAUAGAAAAUAGCAUUGGUGUGUCAGGGCAGAGACAGGGAAUCGUAACCAGGACUAAUGUUCUCAACUGCUCUUUAUGUGAGACAUCUUAAUUACCCCCUUGCUUUUUGUGUGAUGAAUUAACUAUCCAGCCCACAUCCUCCAGGAGAAAUCUGUGUGGUGACUAGGAUGACUCUCUGCCCUCACUUAGCUCCCUUUGAGUUGAUGACAACUCUCCCUGAAGCAAUUUUGUAACACUGAGAUUUUAGGUUUAAUACCUGAAAUUGGCAAUUUUGGUUGGUCAGGAAUAGAGUUAUAGAUAUAGGGUGUUAUAGUUUGAGUUGGUGAUUACAACAGCAGGUCUGGCACAAAGCUGAAACCAAAAAGCUCUUUAGCAGUCAUCCAUCGGGCUUUUCUGUGGGAAUUCUGAAUUUGGACAACAGCCUCCAGAGAGACAGUUCUGAAGGAAGCACCUUGGGAGAAACCCUCCAGCAGGGCUCUUCCUAAGGAAGCCUAUCAAUAUUAGCAGCCUGAAAUAAAUCUUUAUCCUUCUUAAGAGUUUUGACUGUUUCUAAAAGCCUGACCUAAAUGGCAGACAGUACUGUUGAUAGCACAUUGCACAAGAG